rnacentral:rRNA from 1 species
AUUGAACGCUGGCGGCAGGCCUAACACAUGCAAGUCGAACGAGUGGCGGACGGGUGAGCAAUGUCUGGGAAACUGCCUGAUGGAGGGGGCAAACUACUGGAAACGGUAGCUAAUACCGCAUACUAUCAGAUCAGCCUAGGUCGGAUUAGCUAGUUGGUGGGGUAAAGGCCCACCAGGGCGACGCGCCGUAACUGGUCUGAGAGGAUGAUCAGUCACACUGGAACUGGGACACGGUCCAGACUCCUACGGGAGGCAGCAGGGGGGAAUAUUGGACAAUGGGCGAAAGCCUGAGCCAGCCAUGCCGCGUGAGUGAAGAGGGUCUUCGGAUUGUAAAGUACUUUCAGCGGGGAAGCGUUACCCGCAGAAGAAGCACCGGCGAACUCCGUGCCAGCCGCCGCGGUAAUAC